CGUUGAUUGGGGAUGGUGCCGCCGCCUUGCAGAUAUUUCUUACUCGGAGCCUCCCCUGUUUGGAUGCGUAGACAGCCUUUCUCCUCCGUACAACUACCUCGACAAUAUUCCUUUCCCCUUCCGCUCCUGCCUUCUCAUCCGCUUCCAUCCUCCAGCUUGGCCAAGAAAUCAAUCCAACGAAGAGAGGAAGACAGAUAUUGAUUGGGCGAGAUGGUUCACUUGCCGCACCUGGGGAAGCUGCGGCGGGAGGUCAAGGAGGAGGUGGUGGACGCCGACGGCCCCACCGCGGCGGCGGAGGCGUCGCCGUUCCACAAGAGGUCCCGCCUCGCGCACCAGCACCAGCACCAGCACCAGCAGCAGCAAUGGAACACAAGUGGUGCUAGCGUGUCAAAUCAGCAGUCGUCACAGCAUGAUUUCCUUGAUGAGCCUAGCCCGCUUGGCCUGCGGCUGAAGAAGAGCCCCUCUCUGUUGGAUUUGAUUCAAAUGAAGCUUGCACAGGCCAGUAAGACCACAGAAACUCGGCAAUCCAGCAACACUAGCGCCUCAGAGAAACUGAAGGCUUCCAAUUUUCCUGGUUCUGUUCUGCGUAUCGGGUCUUGGGAGUGGAUGUCAAGGUAUGAAGGAGAUCUGGUUGCAAAAUGCUAUUUUGCAAAGCACAAACUUGUGUGGGAAGUACUAGAUGGUGGUCUGAAGAGCAAAAUUGAGAUACAAUGGUCUGAUAUCUGUGGACUGAAGAUGUUUUGUCCAGAAAAUGAACCUGGGACCUUGGAGAUUGCGUUGUCUAGGCAACCACUUUUCUUCAGAGAAACUAACCCACAGCCAAGAAAGCAUACUUUGUGGCAGGCAACCUCUGAUUUUACUGGUGGACAGGCAAGCAUGCACAGGAGGCACUUUCUACAGUGCCUGCCAGGAAUGAUGAAUAAGCAUGUGGAGAAGCUUGUUCACUGCGACCCGCGUCUGUACUCACUAAGCCAGCAAAAUGACAUAAAUUUGGAGAAUCCUUACUUUGAAUUAAAUUGUUCCAUAUUUGAAGAUCCGGAGGAUAUAAAGUGCCAAAAAUUUGAGCAUAAAGAUGACGACGACCAUUUAGGCACACAGAGAUCUAAUGCAAUAAUAUUACCUCAUUCUCCUGUGGGUAUGAUAGAUGCUGAAGCAAGGCAACAAGCUGGAACGUCCGAUAUCUUGCCUGGACACUUCCCUAGUUCAGUUGCCGGUACUCACAUAAUUAAGCAAGAUGCUGCUUCUGCUGAGUGUGGAACACAUCCAAACAUCUUCAAUUGCAACAGUUUCAGGGUGCCCAGGAUCAGGCGUUCCAUGUCCAAGAGCGAGAUUGCAAACUACAUAGGGCAUCAAAUGUACAAACAUAUGCACUCGGGGAACAUACCUGCAACUGACGCUGCUACUGGCUCAUCGGGUAAACUGAUGCUGGAUGAAUUGACCCAGUACCUCUUGAGCGACUCUCAGAUCACCAACAAUGGCUGUUGUUCAACCAGUAAACUGGAAUUCGAUGAUCUGACCCGGCGGCUCCUGAAUGACACCCAGAUUACCGACGCGGCUGAUGAGAGGAUGCUCAUGUCUAGAGUGAACUCUCUCUGCUGCCUGAUUCAGACAGACUCAGGCUUGAGCCAGGCAAAUCCUGGCGUCAGUGGUGUCAAUGAGAUGUAUGAAAGCAAGCCCCAGACAAAUGCGCCUACGGUGCGAGGUGAUGGUGGCAAUGGCUUAUUGCCGCCAAGGCAAGAAUCAUUUGGAGAUCUCCUGACCAAUCUGCCGCGCAUCGCAUCAUUUCCUCACUUCUUGUGACUUUGGUAUAAGGUAGCAAAUAUGGAGUGGGAUUAAGUGCUUGGGUACAAGUGUACAACCGUACAAGUUGGUCUCAGAAAUUGUGGCGUGCAGAAAUUUUUGCGGCUAUGUGGCUACAUUCCCACAAGAAAAUGUACAAUAUUCAGAGUUGGGAAGAAUUCCCUGUGGCUAACCUUGAAGUAAAUGGGCAUAGAAGUGAUGACUAGGCUCUUCAGUUUCAACACUUGGGGCCAGUUGGAUGGGUCAGGGUUUGGGCCGAGCCAAACUAUCAGCAACCUACAUGAAGAUGACGCUGACCAAGAGGCAAUUCAAAAGGAUGAGCCCCUAAUAAAUAAAAAAAGGUUGAGCCGAUAAGAAGCAAGCGGGCUCGGCAGACUAGGGUUUGAGUGCAUGAGCCUGAGUGGACCCAAUACAAAAACCUCCUCUAUUCUACUCUAAUAAUCUGCCCCAAUUCUUGCUCUAACUCUAUUUAAUCCCAUGAGGUUUGAUGCUCCGUUCAUAUAACCUCUUAAGAUAAAAUGGUCCACAUAGUCCCACAACUUCGCAAAACAGGUUAAAUAACAUCCUAAGGAAAUUUACUGUGGCAGUUUUUCCUCCAUAUCAUUUUAGAAUGGUGGUUUUCACCACUAGGCAAGGGCGGGCCCGUGUAGGUUCAAGGGUAAGAUUUUUGUGCAAAAACUUAAUGUUGUAUUUUGUGGACUGGUGGCUAAGCUCAAUUCGUGACAACCCAACCUAGCAACCUCUGUAGCCCAACUCCCAUCGCCUUAUCGCUGAAUCCCAACAAGCAAUUGAUGCCUAUGAGGCUAUGGUCGGUCCUAACGGCACCGGCCCAAUCGAUCAAUCUGAUCCAAGUAUCUAAUGCCAUAACGUCUAAAGGCCAAACCCCCAAUUCAAGAAUUUGAGAAUGGAAAUAGAGGGUGGCGGCGGCACUAGCACAAGCGCAGCUCGCUGUGACCACAGCGGCGCAAGCGCAACGGCGCUCCUCGGUGUUACUUCCGAUUCUGAAGGUGAUUUGUUGAUUUGUUCAGUUGUUCAUACUUCAUAGAUAUUAUUGCUAUUUUCUAUAUUGUUGUUCAAUGUUCAUACAUCAUAGUGCUAAUUUUUUGUUCAUAUUGCUAAUUUAGAGUUUAGAGUUUUAGACAGGUAAAAGUUCUGAGUUCUAACUCAUGAAUCAUGAAUAUGAGGAGCUUCUCCCAUCUGGUUAUCGGAUUCAACCUUUGAUCUUAUGGCUUGGUUUGGGAGAGUUAUUAUAAAUAAUAUGAUGUUUAUAAAUGUUUGAAAUCCCUAAAGAAAGUCAUUAUCCUUUUGUUGCUAAUUAUGACAAAUUAGAUGGCAAAUACAACUUGCUUAACAAGGAGCAUGAAAGAGCUUAGUGCAAAAUUUAAGGAUCUUGAGCUAGGGAACUUAUGCUUAUCGGAUCAUCUGGUGUUCAUAGUUUUCUUAGUCUGGGAGGCAAUAACUAGUUUUGGGGGUUGUGUCGAGACCAGUCUAAGGAAAAGACUAAUCUCAUCUAUAUGCUAAACCUAGAAAUUAAUCCCAACACAUAGUAACUUCAUAGAAAAAAAUCAUUACUACAUCACAUUUAAUCAUUAUUUAAACAACUUACAAAAGUGACCUUGAAGGGUCAAGAUCCAAAUAAAACUACAGUGAAACUACGUAGACUCUAAACCUUCACAGUGACUCCAUAGACAAACCGACAUAGAAAGCAUCUUAGAACGAUCCAUAUUUAGAAAACUCUUCAUAGCUUCUCCAACUGAGUGUUUGGUGAUAGCAAGAGUGAUCACAUGUCGUGUUCAACAAGUUGUGAUGAAAAAAUAUAUAUAUAAAGGCUUGAUAACGAUAUGGCAAUAUGGAUCUUUUGCAUAAAACAAAAUUUAUGUAAAACAUUUGAAAAUCAGUAAUAAUUAAGUGAAUAACCAUAAAUAAAUAAUCACCUCAAGAUUCCAACCAUCUUAACUUAACCAACCUUUCAACACCUCAACUAAAGUUCUCAUCACGAAGAUUGAACAACACCUCAAUCAUAGUUCCCACCACUAUAAUUGACCAAACCAACCAAACCAUCAAAUUCUAAUCAUGUGAGGUUUUCCUUGCCACUCAUAACCGUGAGUAUCACUGAUUAACUAGUUUUACACUAUGUAGAGGUCGUGCACUUUACUCACAAGUCAUGAUCAUAAUUUGUUGCUGGUACCUGUUAGUACCUUAUACACUUCCAAUGUGUACACCAAGUUGACCACUACAAAGCCUUUACAAUGUCUCUCUCAGCACGUGCAUACUCGCUAAGAUUUCACCACCACAUAAAUACACCUCAUCAAUAGAGGACCCUCUUGCGCCAAUGGAACCUUAGAAGUACACCCUUUCAUUCUACACAACUGGAUGGUCUACACUUUGUUUCGCGAUAGAGACACUCGCUCUCGAUAACAUAUAACUUGAAAAGUAAUAUUGCGGGGCGUGCCAAUAUACAUAAAGUAAAGACGUAAAAGGAUAAUAAUGCAACAGAAAAAUUGAUCUUUAUUUAUUCAUUAUCGAAUUCGUAAAGUAAAACGUUUCUCUCAUUACAUUAUGUUACUCCACACACACAUAUCCGAUUAGCUUGAUCAUCCGGCCAUUACGUCUUCUUGGUUCCAGCCUCGUCGGUCAAGGAAAAGGAGACUUCAAGUGGUAUACCGGUCUUCACAAUGAGGACAAACAGAUGUGUGAUAGUAGUAGAAUUAUGCUCAUGCAACAACUUGGAGAUUUCUCUCCGUAUAAGCUUCUGAAAACAGCUCCACAAUACGUAAUGGAAUGUCUGUUUAGCUUCCUCUGACGACAUGUUGUGCUCUUUAUACAUCCCAAGGGAGAGAAAACACUGACGAUAUUUGGCGCCACGGAUUGAAGUCUCUUCAGGCUGGUCUGCGAUACCGCCCUCACCACCAAGCUGAUAGGUAGAUGUGAUCACAGAACAUGCCGGGAAGGUCAACAAGAUCUCGAGAAUAGCAAGGUUUGUAUUCUGAAUACCGGGACGUGUUGCCUACUGCUGAAGAAAUACAUGAAUUAUAUU